GACGAACGCUGGCGGCGUGCCUAACACAUGCAAGUCGAGCGGGGAUGUGGAGGAGCUUGCUCCGAAACAUUCUAGCGGCGGACGGGUGAGUAACGCGUGAGCAACCUGCCUCAAGCAGGGGGAUAACGCAUCGAAAGAUGUGCUAAUACCGCGUAAGACCACAGCAUCACAUGGUGCAGGGGUCAAAGGAGCAAUCCGGUUUGAGAUGGGCUCGCGUCCGAUUAGCUAGUUGGUGAGACAACAGCCCACCAAGGCGACGAUCGGUAGCCGACCUGAGAGGGUGAUCGGGCCACAUUGGAACUGAGAUACGGGUCCAGACUCCUACGGGAGGCAGCAGCGGGGAAUAGUUGGGACAAUGGGCGAAAGCCUGACCCAGCAACGCCGCGUGAGGGAAGAA
rnacentral:rRNA from 1 species